rfam:Schistosoma mansoni strain Puerto Rico chromosome 3, complete genome
AUCCAUCUGACGAGUCCCAAAUAGGACGAAACGCUAAUCCUGGAU